rnacentral:rRNA from 1 species
GUGAGUAGUUCAGAGUUUGAUCCUGGCUCAGGAUGAACGCUGGCGGCGUGCUUAACACAUGCAAGUCGAGCGAGUGGAGAACUUCGGUUCAAAGCUAGCGGCGGACGGGUGAGUAACGCGUGGGUAACCUGCCUUGUAAAGGGGGAUAACAGUGAGAAAUUACUGCUAAUACCGCAUAAGACCACAGUAUCGCAUGAUACAGAGGUAAAAGGAGAAAUCCGAUACAAGAUGGACCCGCGUCUGAUUAGCUAGUUGGGGAGGUAACGGCUCACCAAGGCGACGAUCAGUAGCCGACCUGAGAGGGUGACCGGCCACAUUGGGACUGAGACACGGCCCAA